rnacentral:rRNA from 1 species
AUUGAACGCUGGCGGCAGGCCUAACACAUGCAAGUCGAACGAGUGGCGGACGGGUGAGUAAUGUCUGGGAAACUGCCUAAUGAAGGGGGAUAACUAAUGGAAACGGUAGCUAAUACCGCAUACCAUCGGAUGUGCCCAGAUGGGAUUAGCUAGUAGGUGGGGGAAAGGCUCACCAAGGCGACGAUCCCUAGCUGGUCUGAGAGGAUGACCCGCCACACUGGAACUGAGACACGGCCCAGACUCCUACGGGAGGCAGCAGUGGGGAAGUUUGCACAAUGGGCGCAAGCCUGAUGCAGCCAUGCCGCGUGUCUGAAGAAGGCCUUCGGGUUGUAAAGUACUUUCAGUAGGGAAGCGUUACCUAAAGAAUAAGCCCCGGCUAACUCCGUGCCAGCAGCCGCGGUAAUUC